rnacentral:misc_RNA from 1 species
AUAUUUUGAAUUAAGUAUAUUCAUAAUAUGUUAUCAGAUGAAUGUUGUUAAAGAUAUAGGUUGAUAUUUGUGAAGGGAAAGAGUUACCUCUCUCCCAACAAACAUUGCACACAAGGUGGAUAUGGAUUUUUAAAGAGUGCCAUAAAACACUCAUUGUGAAUGAUCCUUCUGCAGGUUCACCUAUGGAAA